GGCCGCCUGGCGAAAUGGCAUCGCGUCUGACUACGAUUCGAUAUAGAUAUCUAUGUUUGUUGUAAUCAGGAGAUUGCAGGUUCGACCCCUGCGGUGGUCA